CCCGUUCCUAAUGCCACGAUCUGAGAGCCAAGUCAUCAGAGCAGCAGAAUGUCCUGGGACGAUACUCGGGAUCUGUCUGUCGGCAGAUGCGUGAGAUCUGGGGCUGGGAGACCUGGAAGCGCCGGGCCACCUCCGACUGGGACAUCUUGGACUCAUCCAGCAGCUCCAGCACCUGGAUCUUCUCGGCCAGGGACAGGGCGUGCAGCUUCUUCUUGCUGCUCAGCUCCAUGGCUUCUCCACGGCACCUGUCGGGGGAGGAAACAGGCUGACACCCCUCACGGAUUGGUUGUGAGAAAAAUGGAUGAAAGCUUUAAGCCACACAAAAGCUGUUACCAUGGACAGCGCUGGUCUCACGUCGAUCUGUCCAGCUAGCUAGCGACUCAAGCUCCUGAACCCGUGUAAAGUAUCUGAAAUCCCAAGAUCAACUCUUAGAAACCUGUCACCAUGUGCAUAUACAAGUCUCGCAGAAUUUCCUUCAAACCAACCAAGAUACAGAAACAGGAUGCUGAACCCGACUCUAACCCAAGUUUUGUAUUAACUGGAAUAACUCUGUCCUUUACAACAAGGAAUAGUUGUAACACAAAUAUACGUUAAAGAGUUAGAACUAACAGAGUGCUCAAUUUUUUAUAUAUGCUUCACAUACAGGGGUUCAGCAAAAACUUUAAUUUGAGAUUAAAUAAAAACCACUGUCCUAGGGAAGAAGUUUUAGGAUGAAAUGACCUUCUUAACCGGGAAAGGGAGUCAGGAGAUAAACCAUCCAGCAGGGAGUUCUGUGUAAAAACGUUUAUUUGUACUAAUGUUUAGAAUACAGGAACUAAAGAAAGAAAAGACACCUCAACUCCAAAGCGACAGUGAAUUAGGGCCUGCCCACAGCCAAGGGGAAGGCCACUCCAGGGUGUCCUGGCAUGGACUGUCCCCCCCACUACUUCAUGUCAGUGUCACCAGGCAAAAAACUGAGGAAUCAGGGUGUGAAGACCUUACCAGCCGCUAGCGAGCGUGCAAGGGAAGAAAGGGAUGUCCGUG